GGCUUGUCCACGUGCAGUGGUGUUUAUAACUAAUUGAUCACAACUAAUUACAAACUUCUUUGUUCCUUUUGCACUCUUACUGCUUCACUUGUCUAGCCUAAA
rnacentral:Y_RNA from 1 species